rnacentral:rRNA from 1 species
GACGAACGCUGGCGGCGUGCUUAACACAUGCAAGUCGAACGGAAAGGCCCUGCUUUUGUGGGGUGCUCGAGUGGAGAACGGGGGAGUAACACGUGAGUACCCUGCCAUUGACUUUGGGAUAACUUCAGGAAACUGGGGCUAAUACCGGAUAGGAGCUCCUGCUGCAUGGUGGGGGUUGGAAAGUUUAGGCGGUUGGGGAUGGACGCGCGGCUUAUCAGCUUGUUGGUGGGGUAGUGGCUUACCAAGGCUUUGACGGGGAGCCGGAGUUGGCGGGUGACCGGCAACAUUGAGACUGAGACACGGCCCAGACUCCGACGGGAGGCAGCAGUGGGGAAUAUGACACAAUGGGAGGAAGCCUGAGGCAGCAACGCCACGGGCGGGAGGACGGCGUACGGGUUGUAGACCGCUUGCGCCUUUAACGAAGCGGGAAUGACCGGAAUGGGUAGAGAAGGACCGGCUAACUACGGU